UACAGUACGAAAGGACCAAAAUAACAUAUUACAUAAUAAUUUGACAGAACAAUUGUACUAAACUUA
rnacentral:tRNA from 1 species